rnacentral:rRNA from 1 species
AUUGAACGCUGGCGGCAGGCCUAACACAUGCAAGUCGAACGGUAACAGGAAGCAGCUUGCUGCUUUGCUGACGAGUGGCGGACGGGUGAGUAAUGUCUGGGAAACUGCCUGAUGGAGGGGGAUAACUACUGGAAACGGUAGCUAAUACCGCAUAACGUCGCAAGACCAAAGAGGGGGACCCUUCGGGCCUCUUGCCAUCGGAUGUGCCCAGAUGGGAUUAGCUAGUAGGUGGGGUAAAGGCUCACCUAGGCGACGAUCCCUAGCUGGUCUGAGAGGAUGACCAGCCACACUGGAACUGAGACACGGUCCAGACUCCUACGGGAGGCAGCAGUGGGGAAUAUUGCACAAUGGGCGCAAGCCUGAUGCAGCCAUGCCGCGUGUAUGAAGAAGGCCUUCGGGUUGUAAAGUACUUU